AAAAAGGUUUGAGCUUGAGAAGGUGGCACUUUUUAGAGGGUAGGGUUGCUACUGCUGUCGACAACCUGUACACCAAAGGGCAAUACAACCUAUUAGAAAUUAAGAAAUCAUGGGAAAUAAAUGCUGCGAAUGUCAUGGCUGACGAUAUAUGGAAUGGAC